rnacentral:rRNA from 1 species
AAUAGAUACCCGGGUAGUCCACGCCGUAAACGGUGGGCACUAGGUGUGGGCGACAUUCCACGUCGUCCGUGCCGCAGCUAACGCAUUAAGUGCCCCGCCUGGGGAGUACGGCCGCAAGGCUAAAACUCAAAAGAAUUGACGGGGGCCCGCACAAGCGGCGGAGCAUGUGGCUUAAUUCGACGCAACGCGAAGAACCUUACCAAGGCUUGACAUACACCGGAAACGUCCAGAGAUGGGCGCCCCCUUGUGGUCGGUGUACAGGUGGUGCAUGGCUGUCGUCAGCUCGUGUCGUGAGAUGUUGGGUUAAGUCCCGCAACGAGCGCAACCCUUGUCCCGUGUUGCCAGCAGGCCCUUGUGGUGCUGGGGACUCACGGGAGACCGCCGGGGUCAACUCGGAGGAAGGUGGGGACGACGUCAAGUCAUCAUGCCCCUUAUGUCUUGGGCUGCACACGUGCUACAAUGGCCGGUACAAUGAGCUGCGAUACCGCGAGGUGGAGCGAAUCUCAAAAAGCCGGUCUCAGUUCGGAUUGGGGU